UACGGAGGGGGCUAGCGUUGUUCGGAAUUACUGGGCGUAAAGCGCGCGUAGGCGGACCUGCAAGUCGGGGGUGAAAGCCCGAGGCUCAACCUCGGAACUGCCUUCGAUACUGCGGGUCUCGAGUCCGGGAGAGGUGAGUGGAAUUCCUAGUGUAGAGGUGAAAUUCGUAGAUAUUAGGAAGAACACCAGUGGCGAAGGCGGCUCACUGGCCCGGUACUGACGCUGAGGCGCGAAAGCGUGGGUAGCGAAUGGG
rnacentral:rRNA from 1 species